GCGGUUAUGGCGGAAUUGGCAGACGCGCAGGAUUUAGGUUCCUGUGUCUUAUGACGUGUGGGUUCAAGUCCCACUAACCGCA
rnacentral:tRNA from 1 species